rnacentral:lncRNA from 1 species
AUGUUUUCAGCUCCUGGUUGUGGUCAUCUUGGCAUGGCAACUUUAUCUUCAGAAGAACUGAUAACAAUCAAAGAAAAAACCAUCAUGCCUCCUCUCAACACUUCUCAUCCCUCUCCUGCCACCUUCUCGCUGAUGGGCAUCCCAGGACUGGAGCACCUGCAUGUCUGGAUUGGGAUUCCCUUCUGCUCCAUGUAUGUGGUGGCAGUGGUGGAGAAUGUGACCAUUCUGGCUGUGGUUAGGGCAGAGCAAAGCCUCCAUGAGCCCAUGUUCCUCUUUCUGUGCAUGCUCUCCGUCACUGACCUGGUCCUCUCCACGUCUACACUGCCUCGCAUGCUCUGUCUCUUCUGGCUUGGAGCCCAUGACAUUGCCUUUGAUGCCUGCCUGACCCAAAUGUUCUUCAUUCACAGCUUCACCACCAUGGAAUCAGGCUUUUUCCUGACCAUGGCCAUUGACCGUUAUGUGGCCAUUUGUCAUCCACUGCGCCAUACCACCAUACUGACCAACACUCGCAUCACUAUAAUGGGUAUUAUUGUGGUGAUUCGGGGAGUUGCCUUCUUUUCUCCACACCCCAUUCUGCUCAAACAGCUGCCUUACUGCAGAACACGAAUCACUGCCCACACCUACUGUGAGUUUAUGGCUGUGCUGAAGCUGGCGUGUGUGGACACAGGAGCCACCUCACGUUACAGCCUCAGUGUGGCUUCUAUCAUUGGCUCCUGUGAUGCGAUUCUUACUGCUGUAUCCUAUGUCUUCAUCCUCCAGUCUGUAUUCCACUUGCCAUCUCGAGAAGCUGGCUUUAAGGCUUUGGGCACAUGUGGAUCCCAUGUUUGUGUUAUUCUUGUCUUUUACUCCACAACUGGCUUUUCCAUUUUCACUCACCGCUUUGGGAAAAAUAUACCUGCACAUAUCCAUAUUUUUAUUGCAAAUAUGUAUCUUUUGGUGCCCCCUUUUCUCAACCCCAUUGUGUAUGGAGUAAGGACCAAGAAAAUACAGGAGCAUGUUGUUAAGGCACUAAGUAUAAAAGUUGCUUGA